rnacentral:rRNA from 1 species
CUACGGGCCGCAGCAGUGGGGAAUAUUGCACAAUGGGCGCAAGCCUGAUGCAGCCAUGCCGCGUGUAUGAAGAAGGCCUUCGGGUUGUAAAGUACUUUCAGCGGGGAGGAAGGGAGUAAAGUUAAUACCUUUGCUCAUUGACGUUACCCGCAGAAGAAGCACCGGCUAACUCCGUGCCAGCAGCCGCGGUAAUACGGAGGGUGCAAGCGUUAAUCGGAAUUACUGGGCGUAAAGCGCACGCAGGCGGUUUGUUAAGUCAGAUGUGAAAUCCCCGGGCUCAACCUGGGAACUGCAUCUGAUACUGGCAAGCUUGAGUCUCGUAGAGGGGGGUAGAAUUCCAGGUGUAGCGGUGGAAUGCGUAGAGAUCUGGAGGAAUACCGGUGGCGAAGGCGGUCCCCUGGACGAAGACUGACGCUCAGGUGCGAAAGCGUGGGGAGCAAACAGGAUUAGAUACCCUUGUAGUC